GACGAACGCUGGCGGCGUGCUUAACACAUGCAAGUCGAACGGAAAGGCCCUGCUUUUGUGGGGUGCUCGAGUGGCGAACGGUUGAGUAACACGUGAGUAACCUGCCCUUGACUUUGGGAUAACUUCAGGAAACUGGGGCUAAUACUGGAUAGGAGCUCCUGCUGCAUGGUGGGGGUUGGAAAGUUUCGGCGGUUGGGGAUGGAAUCGCGGCUUAUCAGCUUGUUGGUGGGGUAGUGGCUUACCAAGGCAUUGACGGGUAGCCGGCCUGAGAGGGUGACCGGCCACAUUGGGACUGAGGUACGGCCCAGACUCAUACGGGAGGCAGCAGUGGGAAAUAUUGCACGAUGGGCGGAAGCCUGAUGCAGCAACGCCGCGUGCGGGAUGACGGCCUUCGGGUUGUAACCCGCUUUCGCCUGUGACGAAGCGUGAGUGACGGUAAUGGGUAAAGAAGCACCGGCUAACUACGUG
rnacentral:rRNA from 1 species